GAAUGAUGUAAAAACAAGUGGAGCCCUGGAGCUGGUUCUUCAGCCAUGGUUUGCCAAUUCCUGUGCUAUAGUUAAUUCAAAAGACAUAAAAAAUACCAGAAGAAGAAUACUUUGCUGAAUACCUUAAAUACACAUCCCCUGUGUAAACUACACAACUCUAAGCUACUAAACUUUUCACUGUCCUCAAACUGUUCAGAGCCAAUUCCAGCUUCUGUUAAACUUUCUCAGUACUACAACUAUUUCUUUUUAACCUGCUCUAAGAUCUGUUCAUUUCCUUUGCCAGGAGCCAUUGACAGCCCUCAAACCUCAAACACGCACACCUUGUCUUUACUAGAAAAUGCCAGCUAUUCCCAAAUUAGGAAACCACUGUGUUCUGAUCAUUUUAUUCCUAAUAUUUUUAGAACAAAUUACUGGUGACUAUUUAACAGCAUCCAUAAGCUUAAGAAAAUAUGCUUAAAAUAAACUCCACACUCAAGAAUUUAGGUGGGGUGGUGCCUGUGGCUCAAAGUGGUAGGGUGCUGGUCCCAUAUGCUGGAGGUGGCAUCCCUGGCCAAAAACCACCAAAAAAAAAAAUUAGGUGAUAACACCCAAAAGGAACAAACUGCACUGUAAGAACUAGAGGUGGCAGGGCAGUUGGUAGGCAUUACAAAGCAAACAGGACCUCUGUAACAGUCUAUGAAUAAUAUCUGUUCUUCCCUUAAACCUGCCUCAUUAGUGAAUUCCCCCCAGACCUGGAAGAACUAUAGCCUGAGGAUAGCCAGGGUUAACAUACCACAUUAACCCUUGUUUGGAACAACUGGUGUUCUUACCAGACAUCUGAAGAGACACAGAUGCUCCGCUCCUCUUCAAAUAUGCAUCACCUGUGUCUGAAAACUCUGACAUUACCAAUGAAUGACCUAGGGCAAGCAUCCUCAAACUGCGGCCACAUGAAGCGGUGUGAAUUGUAUUUGUUCCCAUUUUGUUUUUUACUUCAAAAUAAGAUAUGUGCAGUGUGCAUAGGAAUUUGUUCACAGUUGUUUUUUUUUGUUUGUUUUAACUAUAGUCCGGCCCUCCAAAUGUCUGAGGGACAGUGAACUGGCCCCCUGUUUAAAAAGUUUCAGGAAGCCUGACCUAGGGAAUGAACAAUGUGCAAUCACCUACCACGUUACCAGCCAUCCUCUCUUCACACAAGACUAAUCUUUUGGGCCCCUUUGCUUUUGCCUAGCAGAGGCCAUUCUCUGAUGCACACACAUGCACACAGAGUUUAUUUUACAUUACAGUGCAAAUAAAAAUGCUUUCCUUUAAGUAAGGCCUCAACGGUAUUCACAGUUUAUGUUUUUCCCCAUGCUGUGUGGCUUGACAACACAGAGACAGUGUGUCAAGUGAUCCUGGGUCUUCCACAAUGUAGACCCCCAGUCUGUGAAACACGGGUGGGACGUGCAUGCGGCCCCGAGUCAGAGCGAGGUUUGACCCUGACCCCAGCGCGGGCAAUGUCAAUUUAGCCAAGUCACUUGCUCUUUCUGACCUGUUUUCUCAUCUGUCAGAUGUGAAUAAUGACACAUCCUCUCCCUUCCCCUUACUGUUGGGUAAAGGUCAGGAAAGAUGGCAAAGGUGAAGCUGCUCUGUAAACCAUUGACCACACGUUAUUUUCUUUUUCCAUAAACUUUAAACUUUCCUCCUCAAGCAUCAACUGUUCCCUUUUGUUCGGUUCUGCAGUUUCAUAAAGAAGUCUGUUUAGCUGAUGUUUUCUUACUGUUUUUAAUCACAGCUUCAUCUUUCAAGACUUAGGGAUCCCUGCUGACUACAAUUUCUUCUCAAGAAAAACAACUUUGAAACAUGCUGGACUGGCACAUUUUGGAUAAUUUCUUUCAGGAACAGGAAACUCAUUAUUCCAAAAGGCAGGGAAAACAUCUACUUUAAAAAGAAACUAUUCCUGAGAUCCUGCCACUUGCCACAACGUGGACGGAGCUGAAGAAUGUACUAUGCUAAGGGAAAUAAGCCAGAUACAAAAAGAAAAAUAUUGCAUGAUAUCACUUGCAUGUGAAAUCUUUUUUUUUAAAAAGGUCAAAAUAUACAAAGGUAGAGAAUAACAAUUGUUAUGAGGGUGGAGGGGAGGCAGGAAGAAGAGCUGGGGGUCAAGGUAGCAGAUGUGUAGGGUGAACAGAUCUAAAGAUCUAACAUACAACAUAAGGACUAUACUUAAUAAAAGUGUAUGAUAUUUGGGAUUUUUGUUAAAUGGGUAGAUCAUACUUGCUUUUGUCUCACACACACACAUAAAUGACGGGCACCCCUCACUAUCUACAAUGGAUUGGUUCCAAGAACCCCAAAGCUUACCAAAAUCUGAGAUGCUUAAGUCCCUGAUAUAAAACAGUAUUUGCUUACAACCUGAGCACAUCCUCUGAAACACUUUAAAUCAUCUCUAGAUUACUUAUAAUACCCAGUACAAAGUAAAUGCUAUGUUAGUAGUUGUUGCACUACAUUUUUUAUUUACAUUCUUUUUUAUUGUUGUUUUCAAUUACUGUAUCUUUGAUCCACAGAUACAGAGGACCAACUGUAUGUAUGUGUAAUGACAGAUAAUUUGCUUCCCAACA